rnacentral:rRNA from 1 species
AUUGAACGCUGGCGGCAUGCCUUACACAUGCAAGUCGAACGGUAACGCGGGGCAACCUGGCGACGAGUGGCGAACGGGUGAGUAAUAUAUCGGAACGUGCCCAAUAGUGGGGGAUAGCCCGGCGAAAGCCGGAUUAAUACCGCAUACGACCUGAGGGUGAAAGCGGGGGAUCGCAAGACCUCGCGCUAUUGGAGCGGCCGAUAUCAGAUUAGGUAGUUGGUGGGGGUAAAAGCCUACCAAGCCUACGAUCUGUAGCUGGUCUGAGAGGACGACCAGCCACACUGGGACUGAGACACGGCCCAGACUCCUACGGGAGGCAGCAGUGGGGAAUUUUGGACAAUGGGCGCAAGCCUGAUCCAGCCAUGCCGCGUGCGGGAAGAAGGCC